GACGUAGGGGGCGAGCGUUGUCCGGAUUUAUUGGGCGUAAAGCGCGCGUAGGCGGCCCGUUAAGUCGGAUGUGAAAACCCGUGGCUCAACCACGGGCCUGCAUCCGAUACUGGCGGGCUCGAGGCAGGCAGGGGAGAUCGGAAUUCCUGGUGUAGCGGUGGAAUGCGCAGAUAUCAGGAGGACGCCGCAGUGGCGAAGGCGGAUCUCUGGGCCAUUCAUCGUGACGCUG
rnacentral:rRNA from 1 species